GUGCUUGUUUCGGGAGCACACAUAAAAAUACAAGGAAUGACAGAGAUUGCCAUGGCCCCUGCACUAAGGUGACCCUCACAUUCAUGAUGAAUCCCAUAAUGAA
rnacentral:snRNA from 1 species